rnacentral:rRNA from 1 species
UACGUAGGGAGCAAGCGUUGUCCGGAAUCAUUGGGCGUAAAGCGCGUGUAGGCGGUCCGGUAAGUCCGCUGUGAAAGUCGGGGGCUCAACCCUCGGAUGCCGGUGGAUACUGUCGGGCUUGAGUACGGAAGAGGCGAGUGGAAUUCCUGGUGUAGCGGUGAAAUGCGCAGAUAUCAGGAGGAACACCAAUUGCGAAGGCAGCUCGCUGGGACGUGACUGACGCUGAGACGCGAAAGCGUGGGGAGCAAACAGG